AUUGAACGCUGGCGGCAGGCCUAACACAUGCAAGUCGAGCGACCGGCGGACGGGUGAGUAAUGUCUGGGAAACUGCCUCAUGGAGGGGGAUAACUACUGGAAACGGUAGCUAAUACCCCAUACCAUCAGAUGUGCCCACAUGGGAUUAGCUAGUAGGUGGGGUAAUGGCUCACCUAGGCGACGAUCCCUAGCUGGUCUGAGAGGAUGACCAGCCACGCUGGAAAGGAGACAUGGUCCAGACUCCGACGAGAGGCAGCAGUGGGGAAUAUUGCACAAUGGGCGCAAGCCUGAUGCAGCCAUGCCGCGUGUGUGAAGAAGGCCUUCGGGUUGUAAAGCACUUUCAGCGGGGAGGCGUUACCCGCAGAAGAAGCACCGGCUAACUCCGUGCCAGCCGCCGCGGUAAUA
rnacentral:rRNA from 1 species